GCCGCCGUAGCUCAGCCGGCAGAGCGCCGGCCUUGUAAGCCGGUGGUCGCGGGUUCAAGUCCCGCCGGCGGCUCCA
rnacentral:tRNA from 1 species